UAAUAGUAGUUUUUAAUUUACGGUUUACCUAUAAGCAAUUAUUUAACUGAGAAAUCUCAUUAAGAGUAAAUUGCGAUUAAGUUCCAAUUAAAAUUACAUCCCUGAACUCAAUAUCAGGAUAUUUAUUAGGGAGUGAAAGCAGUACUGUGCCAUGUACGUGUAGAUGCACGUAUGUAAAUGUAUUACAUUAUUUAAUAAAUGAAUAUCAUGAGCUAAUAUAACCAAGGAAGUUUAAUGAUGGCAGGGCGAUUGUCCGGCUGGAAGAACUUCCCAAUUCUUAAAGGAUCUCUCCUUGAAGCAGGACCGAAAGAUUUUCCGGCAGUACAAAGGCCUACUUCACUGGCGUGCUUAUGAUUUUUAGAGUAGGGUUUCGUUUUAAUAAGAUGGCAUACAAAAUAUGUAGGUAUUUAAAAUAAUAAAAAAUCGACGGACUUGUGUAUGUGAAACAACAAAGUAUUCGGUAAGUAACCUAACAUAACAAAAAAACUAAAUAUCUAAUGUAGUUGUAGAACAGCCCUAAGAUAUCUGGUAAGAAAAAUAAAGUUUAAAAAAUUGUCACAUUCCGUGCAACCCUGGACGAGCGCGGAUUCGUGCAGUAACAUGUGGUUUCUGUUGUAAUUUUUCAAGCACUAGAGCUAGAGAACUUAGAUUUCCACACAAUAUUAGCAGAAGUUUUUCACACUUUUAUGAAGGCCCUUUAGGAUUAAUCCACAUUUAAUAAUUUAAUGCAUGGCAUAAAAAAUGGAUAAUGAUUAUAGUCACAGAGGAUGUCAAAUCUCAAAAGCUGUUACCUGUACUAAUAAUUACAGAAGUAUUGGAUGUUAUUUGGACAGCUAUAGACAGCGGAGUGAGCGUUUUUGGAGGAUACAUGAACUUUUGUUCUGUUAAGUAUUCAUGGGGUGAGAUUGGCAAGUCGAUAUCCUUAAUCGUGAAAGGACCUUGACAGACAAUGCACUCACUACUAGUAGUCAAUCGGCAAAUGCUGUUUAAAUACAACAAGUAAAUUUGUUGGUGUUCUUCUAUUGGGGGUGUCUACCUGUGUGCUGAUGAGAUCCCAGGAUAUAAGAUUUUAAGGAUUUUGUGUUGAAUGUUUAAUCUCAUGUACCUAUGAUGUUUCUAAUUUUCCGGCCUCUCAACAAUUCUUGUAGGUAUAUUAGCUUAUUAGGGAAUUCCCAAAAGAUUAAUAAAAACUGUAAGCUUUCUGGAUUAAUGAAUUUCACUGUGUUACAUGUGAGCUUUUUGUGGAACAUUUUUUAAAUAUGCACGUAAACAAUGGAAAAUUUUAAUUUUAAAGAAAAAUAUACCAAUCGGAUUAUUCAACUGAAUGACCUGCAGUUUUUGUGUCCCAUUCCACUCUGUAUAUAAAUAAUUUGGCAAUAUGUAAUCUGAUAUUAACACGAAAAUAGAGCUUUUUUCCCUGUGUUCAGGCAACCCAUUCGACGGGUGCCAAUUGUGUAUUCAUUUACCAGGACAUUAAAAAAGUCCCUACAUACACACAUUUUGAAAUUAUUUAUAAUUACAAAAAACAAAAAAAAAUAUUUUUAAGAUUAUGGAAAUGUAAUAGAUGGAUAUGCUGUAAUUGUGAAUUUUUUAGUAAAAUUUAAUAUCUACAUGUGUUGAACA